rnacentral:tRNA from 1 species
GAGGAUGUAGCUCAGUGGUACAGUGCAUGCUUAGCAUGCAUGAGGCCCCGGAUUCAAUCUCCAGCACCACA